CAGUCGCCGCGGUAAUGCGUAGGUGGCAAGCGUUGUCCGGAAUUAUUGGGCGUAAAGGGCUCGCAGGCGGCUUCUUAAGUCUGAUGUGAAAGCCCCCGGCUCAACCGGGGAGGGUCAUUGGAAACUGGGAAACUUGAGUGCAGAAGAGGAGAGUGGAAUUCCACGUGUAGCGGUGAAAUGCGUAGAGAUGUGGAGGAACACCAGUGGCGAAGGCGACUCUCUGGUCUGUAACUGACGCUGAGGAGCGAAAGCGUGGGGAGCGAACAGGAUUAGAUACCCCGGUAGUCCCUGUCUCUUAUAU
rnacentral:rRNA from 1 species